UUGAAAAGCACUUUGAAAAGAGGGUGAAAAGAACCUGAAACCGUCACGGGGGAAGCGGAUUGCGUUGGAUUGAUGGGAUUUUUGUGUGUUCAGCCCUUUAGGGUGCAUUGGCAUGAGAUCUUAUUCGUCGUGGGUUUUCGGGAACGGAUGAUGUGUUCCCGGGGACUGAGGGCUCCCCUUUAUGGGUUGAGGACGACGAAGCGACGACGCGAUACGACCCGUCUUGAAACACGGACCAAGGAGUCUAGCGCGAUUGCGAGUCUAAGGGUGGUGAAACCUGGCGGCGGAGUGAAAGCAAAUGUGAAAACGAGCAGUUUGAGGCGGCAUAAAAUCGUUGAUUUUAAGUCCGACCUGGAGCCAUUGCGCUGGGACCCGAAAGAUGGUGAACUAUGCCGGAGUAGGGCGAAGCCAGAGGAAACUCUGGUGGAGGCUCGUAGCGGUGCUGACGUGCAAAUCGCUCGUCCAACUUGGGUAUAGGGGCGAAAGACUAAUCGAACCAUCUAGUAGCUGGUUCCCUCCGAAGUUUCUCUCAGGAUAGCGGGCCGACAUGUGUUGUUCUGUGU
rnacentral:rRNA from 1 species